rnacentral:rRNA from 1 species
GAGGAAUAUUGGUCAAUGGGUGCAAGCCUGAACCAGCCAUCCCGCGUGAAGGACGACUGCCCUAUGGGUUGUAAACUUCUUUUGUAUAGGGAUAAACCUUUCCACGUGUGGAAAGCUGAACGUACUAUACGAAUAAGCACCGGCUAACUCCGUGCCAGCAGCCGCGGUAAUACGGAGGGUGCAAGCGUUAUCCGGAUUUAUUGGGUUUAAAGGGUCCGUAGGCGGACUUAUAAGUCAGUGGUGAAAGCCUGUCGCUUAACGAUAGAACUGCCAUCGAUACUGUAAGUCUUGAGUAUAUUUGAGGUAGCUGGAAUAAGUAGUGUAGCGGUGAAAUGCAUAGAUAUUACUUAGAACACCAAUUGCGAAGGCAGGUUACCAAGAUAUAACUGACGCUGAGGGACGAAAGCGUGGGGAGCGAAC